AACCCGUUCUCAUCAGUCUGCGUAUAAAUAACACGACUUUACAUUUUCUAUUUGCGUGUAAUGCAUACGCCAAAUGCCAUUUUUGCGUGCAUAUGAUACGCCAAUCCUUCCCAUUAAUUUCGGUGGAGAGCAGAUGCGUCCAAAUAACACGCAUCAUCUUCAGCGGCAGUGACGUCACUAGCGUGGCUCGUUCAGUUCACCUGAUGCGCGUACACCUUCAAACAGGUAAGCAAGGGUAAAUAUAUUUUUUUAUUCUUCUUUUUGUAAUGAUAUCACGUGGUUAAGCGUAUUGUUUUAAUUAUUUCAGUAUUUCUGCAUCACGUUAGACAGGGCCGUGUUUUUAAAGGGCAGUUUAUGCUCAAAUUAUGGGUCAGUGGGCUGCUCAGCUAGCCUACCAUUGUCAUUAGCCUAAGCUAACCUGUACUGUUUAUAGACCUGUUGCAGUUUUAAAUAAAUUUAUGAUGUGACAUAUGGGUCUUCAGCUUUUAGACAUGACUAAUACAAGCACAACAAAGCACCCAACCCAAUAUCGCGUGAUAAUCGUGAUCGUGUAAAAAGUCCACACAUUUAGCAUAUUUUUACAAUACUAGCCUAACUUUUGCUUGACCACGUCAUGUGUAGCCAAUACACACACAGUAACUACAGCAUAUUUACCAUGCUUCUCCUACUGUAACCGUAGUUUUACUCUGGACUUUGUAACGCACAUAACCACGACAUUUACUAUGGGUUUACCAUAGUAACCAUAGUUUUACUCUGGUAUUUGUAGUUACUAACACACAAUAACCACGACAUUUACUAUGGGUUUACCAUAGUAACCAUAGUUUUACUCUGGUAUUUGUAGUUACUAACACACAAUAACCACGACAUUUACUAUGGGUUUACCAUAGUAACCAUAGUUUUACUCUGGUAUUUGUAGUUACUAACACACAAUAACCAUGACAUUUACUAUGGGUUUACCAUAGUAACCAUAGUUUUACUCUGGUAUUUGUAUUUACUAACACACAAUAACCACAACACUUACCAGGAUUUUACCACAGUAACUGUUUUUACUCUACACUAUUUGUAAAGCACAGUAACCACUAAGUUUGCCAUGCCUUUAAUAUCUUUUUGUGAUGUAAUUGUAAUUCAGUGUUUUUUCUGUCUUGCAGUUACGUCGGAUUACAUACUCCACAACAACCUGUAAUCCAGCAGAUCUUUAAAGAAGCCAUCUCUUGUCAAAUCUCUCUCUCUCUCUCUCUCUCUCUCUCGCUCUGCUAGAAUUAACAGGGAACUUCAACUCCACGCUCCCAAUGCUGAUAUUGAAGAAGCUGUCAAGGGGGCUGAACAAGUCCUUCAAAGGAUCAACCCUUCACAGGAAGGCCUGUCAUGAGAUUUGAAUUUGACCAUCUUGUGCAUUUAUGAAGAAGACCAAAAGCUGCAAAGGCAAACACUUGGCAGAAACUGAGAGUUUGCAUGAUGGCAUUUUCUCAGACGCUGAAUCUGAUGUGUACAGAUGAACUCAGGAGCCUACUAGAGUUGCCAAGGAACUUGUGAUUGAACUGAAGACCAGAAACGCAAAGAAAAUCAGUCAAACCAGUCCUAAAGAAAUGAGGAAUGAACAUGGACUUCUUGUGCCCCAAAAGAAAAGACAGAAAGCUCCUAAAAUGAGCAAAUAAGCUGUGCAUCAUCUCUGUGAUUUGGGAAGGAAAUGACUGAAUAUGAUGAAGCCAAUUGAUGAAGAUAUCAAUUGAAUGGCCACCGAGUGCAUCACUGCUACCUGAACCCAUCAGUUAUCUUCUGUGAAGACUGCAUUCACAAACCGCUCUACUGCGACAGCUCAGAUGUUACGGCCUGUAAAAGUAAACAUCACAGCUAAACAACGAGAGCUAGUUAUGGUGGGAUUCUUUUGGCCAAUAUCCCCAACAAGAAUCAAUGUUAAGUCCAGUGCAACAAUUAUAAAUAAAAAUACUAUAUAUUGUUUAUUGAUUUACUAUAACCUAAAUACAUGUUUUGGCCCUCCAGGACAUCUAGACCAGGUGGAGUGUGAGGAGGACCGUCAGAGACUCCAGCCAGCCGAGCCAUGGAUUGCUCUCACUGUUACCAUCAGGCAUGCGUUAUAACAGAACCUACACCAGCAGACAGUGAGACAAGUUCCUUUCACAGGCAAUCAGACUGAACUGAACUCAUACCAGUAAAACCAUACACACCCCACCAACCUCAUAUGCCCUGCACUCUUAUCAGUUAUGCUGACUGGACUCAAUAUUAUUAUGCACCCUGACAUUCUGUUUGCACUAAUUCAUACCGUGCUUUACUGCAGAGAUGUAUGUGUACUGUGAUUAUUAUUGUUUUCAAUUCAUGCUCUUUGUAUAGCAUAAUUUUUAACAUAUAUUGUUCUCUACCUGAAUUAAGUCCCUUAUAUAUGUGUGUUGCAUAUAUAUAUAUUCAGAAUUUGUAUUUCAUAUAUAUUCAUGAAUUAAUUCAUUUGUCAUCCAUACUGUCACGCUGCAGUCUGCACCCAAGACUUUCAUCACCUGUAUACUUGUGUUCAUUGUAUUGUGACAAUAAAGAUAUUUGAUUUAAA